rnacentral:lncRNA from 1 species
GGUUUCAUCAUUUUUUUAAGUCAUAAGAAAAACCGAGCUUUAUUACUAAAACGGUGUUUGUUUUUGGGUUAAGAAAUGAAAAGGUGGUAAAAAAAAUGAAAAAUAAUGGUGUAGAAAGAAAAAGGGUUAGUCCUAAUGCCUCCAUCAUUUACUUACUCGGGUUUAAGUUGGUAAGGACCGGGAAUGCAUUGUUGUGGCAAGUUCUAGAGUCGUAAGAACCAAGCGGCUAUUCACACAAGAAACGAAAAAUGAGCAUUUAGAGUAAAGAUAUGUAUUUGUAUGCUCAAUAAAGGCUCAAAACUCACUUUUGUGGGAAUGGGUUUUUAUGUGAUCAAGUAUAUAUAAUCAAAUUUUAACUAAGCUUGUCAUGCCGUUUCAUAAUUUUCUUAUGUUGGUUCUUUUUAUCACGACGCUAUCGGUUGUAAAUUUGUAAAAAUAUAACCUUGUUAGAACUUGAAAUUCCCAACUUAAACCUAGACAAGUAAAAAGAAAAUGAAAAAAUUUUGGAAAAAAUUUGGGGUGAUUAGCGGUUCCAAUAGAGUUUUGUGUAAGGCUUGUUAAUUAGGACUUGCAAGAUUCAAGGUUUUAGCAUCCCCCCCCCCACACUUAAAUUACAAAUUGUCCUCAAUGU